UACGGAGGGGGCAAGCGUUAUUCGGAAUCAUUGGGCGUAAAGGGCGCGUAGGCGGUCAGGCAAGUCAGGGGUGAAAUCCCUCGGCUCAACCGAGGAAUUGCCUCUGAAACUGCCUGACUUGAGACCGGGAGAGGGUAGUGGAAUUCCGAGUGUAGCGGUGAAAUGCGUAGAUAUUCGGAGGAACACCAGUGGCGAAGGCGACUACCUGGACCGGUUCUGACGCUGAGGCGCGAAAGUGUGGGGAGCAAACAGG
rnacentral:rRNA from 1 species